GUUCCCCACACCCCUGCCCCACCACUUGAAGGCUGAUCUCUUAGAGGCAAUUGCCAGAAAGCUUUGAAAGGGGCUCAAAUCCUGCUGCUUUUGUUCAGGCAGGAUUUUGAAGUCAUCCUUCUGCUUUUUGUUCAUGCACACCAGGGACAAACCUGUGCAGGAACGAGCCCUGCACCGCUAGCCUGGUUUGGAAGUGGUGGUCUCAGGACGGAGCAUCUUUCUGGAUUGCUGCUUUGCAGGGGUGUACUGAGGAGUUUUCCAGAGGCCACAGAAUGCAUGCUAUCACAACAGACAGAAAACAGAAGCAAAGAGGAGAAUCCAGAUGUCUUCUAUUAAGCCAGGCAUUAAAGAGACUUGCAGAAAUGUGCAAGAUCAAUUUUUUUCUAUGUUUUGGAAAACAGAGUUAUUGUUCAUAGAAAACUAUGUUAGUUAUGCAUAUAUGCAAUGGGUUUAUUCAAGAAGUAUAUAUUGAAAGCAUUUCUUAGUUUUAAUUUCUAAUGUCAUAAAUAUCUAUAAAUAUAAUCUAUCUAAAUGAAAGCUCUUUAAGUUCUGUAAUACUUUUUAAGCAGAUAAACACGUGGGUGCUGAGGCUAAAACUCUGAGAAAUGCUAGCUUAGAGGAG
rnacentral:lncRNA from 10 species